rnacentral:RNase_P_RNA from 1 species
CGAGUUGGCCAGACAGUUGCUGCGUUCGCAAGAACGGGGAGGAAAGUCCGGGCUUCAAAGAGCAGGGUACCAGGUAACGCCUGGGCGGUGUGAACCGACGACAAGUGCAGCAGAGAGAAGACCGCCAAUCUUAGGAUUGGUAAGGGUGAAAGGGUGCGGUAAGAGCGCACCGUGCGGCUGGUAACAGUCCGUAGCAAGGUAAACUCUACCCGAAGCAAGACCAAAUAGGGUUCCGUAUGGCGUGGCUCGCGUUGGAACCGGGUAGGUCGCUUGAGCCUGUGAGCGAUUGCAGGCCUAGAUGAAUAACUGUCCACGACAGGACCCGGCUUAUCGGCCAACUCAACCU